GAACUGGACGUUUUUGAUGAGACCAACACAUUUAUUGAGGAAGACAUUUUUUUGGAACUGAUAGAGGCCAGUCCAGAUCUCUGCCUGACAGUUUGUGACAGAAAUCCUGAUGCAGUUCAUACACUGGAGGAGAUACAGCUUGCACCUGGUACAACAACACAAGACAGCAUUGCAGGGGAAGACUUCUCUCCUUUGGAUCAUUCAACGUCCUCCCUCACGGAUACUGACACGUCACUUUCUUCAAGUGGCAAUGACCACGGCAGUGGAGUAGAAUCAGGGAUUCCCAUUGGCACACGUACAUCCAGCCCUGAAGUCACAACCAGGCCUCGCACAGAGGUUUCUGAGUCAGAGGCUGCAAAAGAGAUGGUAGAAAAUGCCUUGCUUUGCAAACCUGGGGGUGAGGAUGUCAUUGCAGAGUACGGUACAACGCAGAAAAGUCACUCACUCACCGCACCCGGAGACGGCUUGUGAACAUUUUGGCUAGCCAUAUGA